rnacentral:rRNA from 1 species
UACGUAGGGCGCAAGCGUUAUCCGGAAUUAUUGGGCGUAAAGAGCUCGUAGGCGGUUUGUCGCGUCCGCUGUGAAAACUCGGGGCUUAACCCCGAGCCUGCAGUGGAUACGGGCAGACUAGAGGUAGGUAGGGGAGAAUGGAAUUCCCGGUGUAGCGGUGAAAUGCGCAGAUAUCGGGAGGAACACCGGUGGCGAAGGCGGUUCUCUGGGCCUCACCUGACGCUGAGGAGCGAAAGCGUGGGGAGCGAACAGG